CCUACGGGAGGCUGCAGUCGAGAAUCUUUCGCAAUGCCCGAAAGGGUGACGAAGCGACGCCGCGUGCGGGAAGAAGGCCUUCGGGUUGUAAACCGCUGUCGGGAGUUAGGAAGUGCAAGGAUGUUAAUAGCGUUCUUGCUUGACUAAGGCUCCGGAGGAAGCCACGGCUAACUCUGUGCCAGCAGCCGCGGUAAUACAGAGGCGGCAAGCGUUGUUCGGAAUUAUUGGGCGUAAAGAGCACGUAGGCGGCUGUGUAAGUCGGUUGUGAAAGCCUUCCGCUUAACGGAAGAACGGCAUCCGAUACUGCAUAGCUUGAGUGCGGGAGGGGAGAGUGGAACUUCUGGUGGAGCGGUGAAAUGCGUAGAUAUCAGAAGGAACACCGGCGGCGAAGGCGACUCUCUGGUCCGUAACUGACGCUGA
rnacentral:rRNA from 1 species